UGUGGAACAGAGAUGAACUGUUCCCUCUGUACCCUGCCCAGAUUUUGAUUCACAGACUGUAUAAACAUGAAAAAAAUGGCUGUUUUAAGCUGGACAUCCUUUGCUGGAUUUGGAAGGAUGGUAGAGUUGGAAAAGGUUGUGAAAUGGUGGAGAAUACAGACGGGAAGUCGUGUGCAAAGAUGGAAGCAGUCAAGUUCAGAGCGUAUUUAACAAAUGGUGAACACUCAAGUUUCCUGGGGUUCCCUCAUUGGAAAUUCGGGAAACGGUGGAUCUCUUUGUGUGUGUUGGGGGCCUUCCCUUGAAGAGGAGGUGACUAGAAAAGCGAAAACUUUGUGGCCAAACACUCACAGAGGAGGCAAAAUAGUGUCCCGUGAGGUCUCCCUGCACUCUUUUCUUGUCUUCCACUGGCCAGACUGGGUGAAAUGGCCAUACCCACUGCAAGGCUUAUCACUCCAUGCGGCCUCAGCAGCUCUGAAAACGACUUGAUUCACAUACUCCUUUGCCCCUUGGUUCUCCUUUGUUGGGUUAAUCAUGGUCAGAAC
rnacentral:lncRNA from 1 species